UACGGAGGGGGCUAGCGUUGUUCGGAAUUACUGGGCGUAAAGCGCACGUAGGCGGUCCGUUAAGUCGGAAGUGAAAUCUCAAGGCUCAACCUUGAAAUCGCUUUCGAUACUGGCGGACUUGAGGCAGGUAGGGGAAGGUGGAAUUCCUGGUGUAGCGGUGAAAUGCGCAGAUAUCAGGAGGAACACCGGUGGCGAAGGCGGCCUUCUGGGCCUGUUCUGACGCUGAGGAGCGAAAGCGUGGGGAGCAAACAGG
rnacentral:rRNA from 1 species